CCUACGGGAGGCAGCAGUGAGGAAUAUUGGUCAAUGGGCUUACGCCUGAACCAGCCAAGUCGCGUGAGGGAAGACUGCCCUAUGGGUUGUAAACCUCUUUUGUCAGGGAGCAACGCCGGCUACGUGUAGCCGGACUGAGAGUACCUGAAGAAAAAGCAUCGGCUAACUCCGUGCCAGCAGCCGCGGUAAUACGGAGGAUGCGAGCGUUAUCCGGAUUUAUUGGGUUUAAAGGGUGCGUAGGCGGAAUGCCAAGUCAGCGGUAAAAUCGCGGGGCUCAACCUCGCUCCGCCGUUGAUACUGGCGUGUUUGAGUGGGGGAGAGGGAGGCGGAAGGCGUGGGGGAGCGGUGAAAGGCAUAGAGAUCAGGAAGAACUCGGAUGGAGAAGGCGGCAUACGGGCG
rnacentral:rRNA from 1 species